rnacentral:lncRNA from 1 species
GGCAACAAUAGCGGCAGGUCCAGGCACACUUUAAUAUUUAAUUAAGGUUGAUGUUAACCCCCUUUAAAUGACUUUAGCUGUAAGUUAUAUUUAAAUGCAGAAGAGAAAAAUAAUUGUUCUUAAUUUGCAACCUGGUCAGCAGGCAUUCUUCAUGGAGUUAGCUGGAAAUUUAGAGUAGAAUUUUUAAAUAAUGAAAUUUCCCAUCAUAAAUAUUUAUGGCGGUUUGUCUACGUAGUUGAGAAUUAACUACAAGCGAUGAUUUCCUUGUCUCUUUGGUGUGCACUGCUAGCCUAGCGGGCCACUCUGUGCUUGGGAGCCAGCGUGGCUUUCUUGGGAGAAACGUGUGCUUGGAGGGGAAGUCCAGCACCAAGGAUGGCCGGCUGGUUGUGGCCAGCGCCAGUUUCAAAAGAACUGCUGUGAGUCCGUGGGCCACUUGCCUUCCCCUUUAGCUGAGUGUGUGGUUGGAGGACUGUGGCCUACAGUGAGACCGAGUAGAGCGGUCUUACAGGAGGACUUGUGUGUGUUCCGUGGCCCACGCAGUGAGGCCGUGGUGGGGAGUCCUGGCGCCUCUGUCUAGUCAACCUGAGCUCAUUACAAACACUGCUUCCCUAACAGGCACGGGAGCAGCACUUUGCAGGGAUUGACCUUCCACCCUUUUUUCUUUCUGUGACUCACCCUUGCUGAACUGAUUGGCUCUUCCAUGGGCUGUGAGCUUGAGGGCCCAGAAGGGACAAAGCUCCAUCACGGUCUCCGAAGCAGAAGGCAGUGGCAAUUCUUCGUGCCAUAACUGCUAGCUUCCAUGAGUUGACAUCAAGCACAGAGCCAGUCGCAGAGGCCUGGUCCAUGGGCACUUCAGGGUAGACUGCUCUGCUCGGGAUCAGGGAAUGCCUUUUCCCCAUCCUAUUUCUGAUCACACUCUCCAUCCCCAGAACCCUUAGGUGACUACAUGAGGGGUGCGUGUUCCUGCUCAGUACAGCGUCUCAGCACCACUCACCUGAGGACAGAGAGUCCUGCAGGAGCCCUGGGCCAGCCCAGCAGGCAGCAGCCAGGCGAGGCCUGAUCUCUACAGAGACAGAAAGGGUGGACUUGCUGGGGUCUGGAGCACCUGGAAGCUCCAUUUUAGUCCAGACCAAUUAACCGCAUGAUGACCCACCUCCCUCAGGACGACCUCCACACUUUAGCAGAAACCGUUCUUCCAGAAGACAGGAGGCUCUCUGGUGAGCAGUCCCCAGUGACAUAGACAGGGAAGUGCUGUGGAAAGACACUGAGAAGCUACCAGCUCCCUUGGGGUCCAAGGUCAGUGGCAAUGGGAACUUUGCAGAGCCAGUUUACCAGGGACAGGUAGGGCAAAACCAAGAUGGCAGGACAAAUGGGGUGAGACCAGAGGGUGUACAGGUGAAGACAAGGGACUCCUCACCACCAGGGGGUAGAAGGUGGCUGUAGGCUCAUCCCAGUGAAGAGCCCAGAGGGAGGGGCCCAGGCAGGUUGGCCUCACCUUGUUGCACCUGAGAAGAAGCCAGAGAAGGGGAAUGACAGGGUCCCCACCCAGGUCACACACCACCCCUGUCUGCAGCUGCAGGAGCUCCUGAAGAGCUGUGGGGAAAGCACUUCCUCUUCCUGAAUCGCCUCUUACUCCUGCUACAUAAAUAACGAAGGCGGCCCAGCGAGAGGGGGAGAUGCGGGAAGCAGAGCUCUGGACUCUGAUUCCGUGAACCCGUGCCCCCUCCUUCCCUCCAUCCAAACAAGGCCCUUUGGCGUGAAUAACAGCUCAGCGGCUCCGCAGCCCUAUUGAUCGGCUGGUGCCUGGGCUUUUCCUGGGGCCAGGACUGCUGGAGCCAGCCGCCCCGCCCCUCCCCGCCCCCUGCAGGUGUGCUCAGGAGGGGACAGCACCGGGAAGGUGGGGGUGGGGGGAGCCAGGCCCUGCUCUGGCUCAGCACGGCUUCAUUGCCGCAACUUUUUUGUUUUUAACUUAUUUUGGCAGGAAAGGUACCCAAGUUAGAAAUGUUUUUUCAUGACGAGGCCCCACGGAGUUGAAAAUGAACACAACCUCCGGCUGCAGCUUCUCUCCAGAAGAUUCUGCCAAGGACCCAGGCCACAGAGGCAUGGUCAGCUGACACUUCCAGGGGCCCUUCUGGGCACUCAGCUUUGGACUAAGCCCUUGGGCCUAUCGUGCUGCAAUUCCCAGUUAUUUUCCCUGCCCUCCGCAAUCAGGAGGGAGAGGGCCAAGCAAGUGGUGCAGCCAUCACCUGGGGGGCUGGGGGACUGUUGCUGAAUUCAGUGGAGAAGUGCCUGCCAUGGCCCAUGACCAGCAGAGACUGCAUCCUGCCACCCCAUUCCCUAACUAAUACUGACCCAACCGUCCCCUGCCCUCUCUGCAUCUCUUCUGGACACAGGAAGUCAUCAAGGCCUUAGCCCCUUGAGGGACACAGUCGUGAGGUCAGCAGGCCCCAGCACAGUGACACCUGAAAUCUCACCCCUAAAGAUCCAUUCCUCUGGUUUCCAGUUUUUUUGUUUUGUUUUGUUUUUAGUACAGGGGAUUGAACUCAGGGGCACUCAACCACUGAGCCACAUCCCCAGACCUAUUUUGUAUUUUUUUUAAAGACAGGGUCUCACAGAGUUGCUUAGCACCUCGCCAUUGCUGAGGCCGACUUUGAACUCACAAUUCUCUCUUCUCAGCCCCCCAAGCUGCUGGGAUUACAGCCGUGCACCACUGAGCCCAGCUUAGUUUCUGGCUUUUAAUGCUAGAGAAAUGCAGGUUCAUUUUUCCCUGGGCGGCUCCCAUCCCACCAGCUGCAGAUUUCUUUGGGUGAAACAUCUGACCCUUCCUUGGGAGCUGAUUAUGAGUUUGGGGAAGGGGGGACCCACCACCUGAGGGAGCACUUGGUGGUUUCUGGGAGAAGCAUCCUUGCUCCCUGGGACGAGCUCCCUGGAGGUUUCUGGGUCUCAGCGGCCUUAGGUAAUGGAGGGUCACCGGGACCUUGCACUACAGGUCCACGUACUCCUGAUCAGGCCCAGUUAUUAAGGACUGUGCUGUGCCCAGGGCUGCAUUUGGACAAUCACAGGGUCAGAAAAUGGGCUCUGCCAAGCAGCAGAGGUCCCCUGGGCAGGUCCCACCACAGUGUCCUUGUGGAGCAGGGUUGGGGGCAGGCAGGGAGGUCAGAGUGGAGAUAGGCAGGUAACCCUGGGUCCUGCACAUCAUUCCCACUGAGCUGUUCCAGCCUUGUCUGGCCCCAGCCCUGCUGAGAGUGGGAAGCCCAAGGUCACUGUGCUACAUAAAUUGGCAUUUGGGAAAGGCCCCAAACGGAUUUUUUUAUGCCCUGAACAGACCCUCCCACACUGUUCCCUCAAGUGUCUUGGUACAGGGGACAUCCUGGUGAACAGAACCUCUCUCUGCAUCUCCUCUCAUUCACCCCACCCCUCCUGGCUCCCACUUCCUCUGCAUUUCUAAAAGGGGAAGGCACUAGAGUGAGGAGAACCAGGUGGCUUUAGUGAGCUCACCACAGUCCUGAUAAGACUUCAAAAUCAUCAGACCUUUCCCUAGGUGGAGGAGAGGUGUAUUCAGAUUUAUUCAUCCAGUCAAUAAAUAUUUACUGAGCAUCUACUGUGUUCCAGGCCCCAAGGACACACAACGAAGAAAUUAAAUAGGAAGUCAGAGGCUCGCUGCACUGGGGUGCGGAAGUCAGAAAGCCUUUUCACUCCUGGUGUCCUGACUUGCUUUCUGAUCUUGGACAGGUCACUCUCGGUCUCAAAAUCAGGUUGAGAGACCCUGCUUCUGCUGCCCUCCACGGCUGCCCCUGAGGUCAAUACAAAGCCCUUUCCAGACACAGUGCUCAGUGUCCCUUUCUCUUUGCAAUUCCCAGGACUGCCUUUGCAAAAGAGGAUAUGAAUAGGGAUGAUAGCAGUGACGGUGGCCGUGAGUACAUAGGUUCUCAUCAGCACUGGCCCACACUCAGGACUGGCCCACGAGAUGCCGAGGAACAGGGCUUUUUUUUUUUUUUUUCUUCUCCUUCUUGUUAAAUGAUAAAGGUCUGACUUGGCGGGCAAUCAGAAGCCCAAAAUAUCAUAAAAGGGAAAAAAGUUGCCGAGUGGCUAAGAGGUGCACCACGGGAGUGUCGCGCAGGGCGCAGCCGGCAAGGUGGAUGCUGAGCAGCAAGCAGCGAGGGGGAGGAAAUGCAGCCAGAGACAUUUUCAAAGGCUUUUCUCUCCUUCUUCUCCUCCCUGGUCCCCAUACCAAAAGGGGAAAUUGAAGCCAAAUCCAGAUCUGGGUGUGGGGCUGGUUUGUCCCACACACACCCUCCCCCAAGACGGUAGAGAAACUUUGAUGUCUGAGCACGUGGCUUGGGAGCAGGGAGGAGCUGGACAUCCCAGCCAUGCAGCCGCGUGCUGCAGUCUCCGCUGGGCCUGUCUGAACCCCAGUGUGAGAGAUGAGGCCCACGGGGCUGGCUGCAGCAGGGUUCUGAAAUGGGGAAAUGAUCCCCGUCUUCCCAGCCACCCUGACAACAGUUCUCACGUGGGAGGAGCACAGAUGCACAGAACCCGGCGCAGGCAGGCACCAGGGGUCAUGUUGGUCAACUUACUUGUUUUCAGAUAGAAAAAUGGGCUCAGGGAGGGAACGAGGCUUGCCAAAGACCUCUCAGCAAAUCGGUGACUCAGCCACCAGUGGACUCCGGGCCUUCAGCUCCAGGAAGCUUCUUCCCUCCCGCGCCCAUCCUCCCAGCAACCCCAGGUCAGGGCACCCACCCUUCUCAGGCUUACAAGGGCCCCAGGGCUGGUGGCCUGGGUAGUGCUGGCUUCUGCACCCCUGGUGCUGAAGUUCCCCACAGCCACGGGGAAGCUCAGCUCCAUCCCUGUCUGCCGUGGCUCCUUUCCCCCUGAAUGUCAAGUCCUUGAGGGAGCAAGGGAUGCCCUGGGUCUCUCCUUGGCUGAGCUCCCAGGUUCAUCCUGGGAAAACAUUUCUUGUGAUAUCUUCUCAGCCACCAUCGCUAGCUCUCUACUCCCCCAGGAGACACUGUGAGAAAUGAUUAAGUAAUAAACACCCCCCACCCCAACACUGAGCCCCUGGGGACUCCCAGAGACUCUGGGCCACCUAUGCUAAGGGGAUGCUGCUUUAGAACUGUGGAGCCCUGAGAAGACUCUCGGCCCCUGGUGGUUGUGGCUGAAGAUGACUUCACCCAGGAGUAGCUUGGCAGAGAGUCUCAUGAGGCCUUGGUCUUUGCCAAAACAAGUCAGCCUCAGGUCCCAGGUCUCUGACAUGUGGACUCUGCAGGUCACACCCUGCUCUGGGCCGGUUUCCCCUCCCACAAAUGGGAAAGCUAGACUGGAAAGACUCCCAGGAAGGUAGGUCUCUGCCAGGUCCCCAUCACCCAUGGUAGAAGAAAAAAGGGGAAGUUCCUGACCCAGUAGGGACGGAAGGAUCCACACAGCAGCCUCUGGUGUGCAAACCCCUCCAGAAGAUGAGGAAACCUGACACGCUGAGCUUCUGUGUGGUCUUGGAUGUAGGACUGGUGUCACAGCUGUGUGAUCAGUGCAGUCACAUGACCCGUGCUCAGAGGGGCCCCUUCUGAGCUUGGGGGUUAAUGUUCUGCAGUCCCAUCCAAAAAUUCCUAAUAAUUUUGUCUUUGUAAUUGUGCUUGUAAGUGAUGUCCAGUGGGACAGUGGGCCAGGAAACGGGGACUUGAAGCCUCCUACCAUCUCACUUCUGGGGUCCAGGUCUCAGUGUCUCAUUUUUCUGCUCCCUGAAGCCCCAGUGCUGCUCAGCCUCUGUCUUCCUGCGCCUGCCCAGCAACUGUUUCCAACAGGCACAGAGAGGGUGAAAGAUCAAGUCGGGCAUGCACAGCCCUGGGAUCUUGGAGUGAGGCACUGUGGCCGCUGUCACCACCCUAGCUGUCACUGUCAUGGCACAUUCAACAGGAUGACCAGAUGGAAGUGAGCCAGUGUGUCCUCAGAGUCCCUGUGGAUUGCCCAUCUGAGGUGGGUUGGGCAGGGGUCUUGUGAAAGGGGCAGAUGCUAGGUUCAACCUCCUGCCCUAGGUGUGGGGUACAACAUGUUGGUCCAGAGAUGGGCAGGAAAGAAUCAGCAACCGGGCUCAAAUGCUAUGCAUGCCCAAAUUAGCUCAGCCCCUGUGAGGGCCUGCAGUCCCCCUGGAAGGCUCUUCAUGGACCCCAUUCGCCAGCUCCAUACCUGAGAGGACCCACCUUCCUGGGUCUAGCAUGUUUCUUCUGGCCAGCCCCUGGCACCCUCUGGAGACAGCAUGCAACUCCAUCGGGUGUUAAAUAUUCCAAGAUUUCCACUUAAAACAGGCAUUGCACAAUGUAAAGAUGAGCGGUAAGAGUCAUGCUAAUAACUUAAAAUUUUAACUUAGAGCUUUAACAAGCAAAUUAAAAACACCAUGACGAGUCUAAAGAGCCCAGGGAAAAGCAGGAAGGCGCUGAGGUUCUUGCUGUUUUACAGGAGGCCCCACAUUUUCAUUUUGCAGCGUGUCCCACAAAUUACGUAGCCAGUCCUUCCUGGAUGAGUCACUUUCCCUCUUGGGCAUACAUUUCCCUAUCAGUAGGCCUGACCCUUAUGUUGUCCUUGUCCCUUCCUUGCAACUGGGCACAUUAGGAACAUGCUCAUGGAAAGACCCAUGGAAGAGAUCGGGGAAGUAGUCUAUGGGGCCAGUCCUCCACCUUGGAGUCACCAGGCCUCUCUCCGUUUUCCUUUUUUGUGCUGGUAUUAGUGCAUUAUAGUUAGACACAAUAGUUGGGUUAAGGCCCUUUUUCUUAAAAGGAGAUCUGGACUGGAAUCCAGAGAAAGUUCAGCCUGCUCAUGAAGAUCCAACCACCGUUGAUAAGUCAGUCUCUACCCGAGGUGUUCCCCCUGGAAAAUAUGUUCUAAAACUGAGGCCCCCGUCUUUUCAGGUACCUCAGAAUAGAGGUAUGAAGCACUCAGAGAUUCAAUUUAACUCAGAAAUCCAAGAGAGUUAUGAAAUCAAGUCCUCAUCUGGUCCAAAAACUGAGGCCUUACAAUUCGCAAACCCCAUCCUUGAUCUCCACACCCAUCCAUUCAGUUUCCAGAUGAUGUCAGGAUGUUGGAGCUCGAUCCAAGGUUGCCAACAUGAAAGAGGCUGGGUGCCGGCCAGGUGUGUGUUGGCAGGUGUCAUCCGCUUGGGAGUGGUGCAGGUUUUGAUUCCACUUCCACUUCCCAGAAGAACGUGUCCCCAAUGUGGAGCUGUUUUCUAAGCUAUCAUUCAUUAGGGUUUCAAGUGCAGCUUUCAGUCCGCUUCAUGUGACACUCAAGGAUGCAACUGCCCAAGGUUAAAUGGGUCUGAAGUAGCAUCGUGUCAUUCUGCAGAAAGUUCUGCUGCUUUAUGGAAUGAGUGAAUGAGUCAGUGUAGACCAAGUUGCCUCCAGUGGAGUCCAAAUACAGCAUUACCUACUCAGCAGUGUCAUUACAGGAUCAGGAAAAAUUCAGUGAUCCCUAUUUGGUUUCUUUGGCUCUUCCCCAAUAUCAGAUGGUCAGUCUCUCUCUUUUUCCCUCCCUCUCUCUCUCUAUCUCUCCCUCCCCCCCUUCUCCCUCCUUCUGUCUCUCGUUAAUGUGUUGGGGUUUUUAUCUUAUUUCCCAUAUUACAUUUUGCGUAAUAUCUCCUAACUCCAGCUCAGCUUCCUAAAGAUAAUUCAUUAGGCUUGAGAGCUGCUCCAGCGUGGGAUUAGAACCCGUGUAGGACACAGUCACGUUAAACUGAGAUCCGCUAAUUAAUCGCUCUUCUCUGUGUAACUGGUGAUAGCGCUUCUUCCCCAGGGAAUUGCAAUUUCAUGGUUCCUAAUGAUGCUGCGAUUACAUUAUCUGGACCGCUUAGGCCUGGGGUGUCAGGAGCCGUGCCCAGAGCCUGUCGCAGGGAUGGGAGAAAUCACUCCGCAAACCCAGGGGGUGGAAGGAGGGAAGCUGGAAUUUCUGUUGCUGGUUUUCAUUAAUGUGCGCUUCUUGCUCACAUCUCGCUCAGACAUUAGCCUCGAGUUCCAUUGUCUCUCAGCUCCACAAUGCCUUUUGCCCCAGAACCCUCACAUUUUUUCUAGUAUUCCCAGGGAGAUUGUUUGUAAAAAUCUAUUUAUUUGCUAUAUUCCACAAAGUAAUUUAUUUCAGCAUUUAUUUUCAUUAGAUUUCUUGGAAAUGUGGUUCUACAUGUUGUUAGUACAAGUAAUACAUUUUGAUGGUUGUUUCCUGAACUACCUUGUAUUAUUGGAUCAGUUAAAUAAAAUGCC